UGGGGAAUAUUGGACAAUGGGGGCAACCCUGAUCCAGCAAUGCCGCGUGAGUGAAGAAGGCCUUCGGGUUGUAAAGCUCUUUUGUAGAGGAGGAAAGGCUUUUGGUUAAUACCCAAGAGCUGUGACGUUACUCUAAGAAUAAGCACCGGCUAACUCUGUGCCAGCAGCCGCGGUAAUACAGAGGGUGCGAGCGUUAAUCGGAAUAACUGGGCGUAAAGGGUGCGUAGGUGGUGAUUUAAGUGUGUUGUGAAAGCCCCGGGCUUAACCUGGGAACGGCAACACAUACUGGGUCGCUCGAGUAGGUGAGAGGGGAGUGGAAUUUCCGGUGUAGCGGUGAAAUGCGUAGAGAUCGGAAAGAACACCAGUGGCGAAGGCGACUCCCUGGCACCAUACUGACACU
rnacentral:rRNA from 1 species